UCUCCGUAGGUGAACCUGCGGAGGGAUCAUUACAGAGUUCUCGCCCUCGCGGGUAGAUCUCCCACCCACUGUUAUCGUUACUGUGUUGCUUUGGCGGGCCGCCGGGCCCCGCUCGGCCGCCGGCUCCGGCUGGCGCGCGCCCGCCAGAGGCCCAGCAAACUCUGAAUGUUAGUGUCGUCUGAGUACCAUAUAAUAGUUAAAACUUUCAACAACGGAUCUCUUGGUUCUG
rnacentral:misc_RNA from 1 species